rnacentral:rRNA from 1 species
AGAGUUUGAUCAUGGCUCAGGACGAACGCUGGCGGCGUGCUUAACACAUGCAAGUCGAGCGGUAAGGCUCCUUCGGGAGUACACGAGCGGCGAACGGGUGAGUAACACGUGAGCAAUCUGCCCUUCACUUCGGGAUAACUCCGGGAAACCGAAGCUAAUACCGAAUACGACCACUUCCGGCAUCGGAUGGUGGUGGAAAGUUCCGGCGGUGAAGGAUGAGCUCGCGGCCUAUCAGCUUGUUGGUGGGGUAACGGCCCACCAAGGCUUCGACGGGUAGCCGGCCUGAGAGGGUGACCGGCCACACUGGGACUGAGACACGGCCCAGACUCCUACGGGAGGCAGCAGUGGGGAAUAUUGGACAAUGGGCGAAAGCCUGAUCCAGCAACGCCGCGUGAGGGAUGACGGCCUUCGGGUUGUAAACCUCUUUCAGCAGGGACGAAGCGCAAGUGACGGUACCUGCAGAAGAAGCACCGGCCAACUACGUGCCAGCAGCCGCGGUAAUAC